rnacentral:tRNA from 1 species
UAUCUUGAUUUCAGGAAAUAAAAUUCUUUUACAGUGAAUUAUAACUUUAAGCUAUAAGGUAUUCUUGGUUA